GCGGUUCUCUCGCAGAACAGAAUAUCCGCGAUUUUGUUCUCGUUCGGUCCGUCGAAAGGUGUGCGAAGUGCGCGAGUUGUGUUUUUGUGCUGCUUUCGGAUAUCUACCGGGAUAGAUUACCUGCCAGGAUUGUUUCAGGUGGCAUCUUGCGGCUCUCGGCUAAAACGUAAAACGUGAGAAGGAAAGGUUCAGUUCCAGUUCUAGCGUUUCCGAGUGAGCAAGUAAGCGAGCGAGCAACCAAAUCGAGUAGCAAGUAGGAGCCAGGCAGCUUCCAUCAUCGGAUUGAAUCGGGAAUAUAAUCGCAGCGCGGUUCCUCAUAUAUCUACGCAACAUAGCAUCCUUCAGAAGGAAGUGGUUCAACCGGAAGGACUCCUCCCUUUAGCGAGAGAAAGUCGUCGUUGAUAGUUGAAAGUAAGCGGAAAAAGUGCAUCCUCGCGGUCGUCGCCGUCCGUCGUCGGAAAGGUUGUUGGCAAAAAUCGAUCGAUUUCUCCGGUUCCGUUUCCUAGCGCUGCUGCAGGAGGGAACGUCGACGAAAAUAAACAACUAAAUAACAAGGUGCUGCCGCAUCAGAAUUCAUAGCGAAGAAGGAAGGGUGUUUCCUGGCUGCUUCUCUGUAGUGCAAAGUACACAGUUGCGUUGUUACGUCGUCGUCAUCGUGACUGAAGGAUUUUCGAAUCGGGAUAAUAAGGUCACUUCUUAAGGCUGACUGAAGCGGAAGUUUCCAGAAGAAGACCGCGGCUUGUCCCGUUUUAUAAAAAGGAAAGCUUUAAAAGCUGGGGGAAAAGGUUACGUGUUUUAACAAGUUUGUUACAAGUGGAAGAAUUGCAGUGGGUGGUUCCAUUUGUCCUUGUGCUUUCUCGUUGCUUCCAGCUUUCCGGGGGGGUAGAUCAAAGGAAAGCUCCAGCGAGUGCUAUUCAGUGUAUUUUUAGUGGGUAAAGUGUGGGUUCGGGAAGUGGAGAAAAUCAAAUUGAACAGAAAAUUAUCAACGUCACCGUCAUAGCCGUCGUUCUUCGUGGCUCAUUUCGAGGUUCUCGUUCAAGAAAAGUGUGAUACUGCACCUGUAUCUGUGCCUCACAGCAGGAAGAAGAAGCAAAGAAAUUGUACAACCUAUUUGCUAGAAUUACUUGGUGCGUCUACGCUUAGCUAGACGCCUCGAGAGGAAUACAAAACUCAGACGUGGUCUCUACGACGAACAAGAACGUGUGGCUGUAGAAGCUGUAAAAACGACAACAACAUACAAUCGUUGUCGUCGUCGUUUUCCUACGUAAGUAAGUUUUGUUGAAUCACCCC